GAAAACUCCAUUUAACUGGCAGUGAAAUGACAAUGAAACAACAAAUGGGGAAGCAGCAGGAGCUACACCACAGCUUUUAUGGGCAGAUCCCUCAGUCACCAUCAUGAGUGGAAGGCAUGGGGGCAUCUGAGGGUGGUGAGGGCCAAGAGAGUGAUGCUGACAGGGAGCCAAGGCUCUGGGGUGGAUUUGGGGGUUGGUUACUGUCCUGGGUUGAUGUUAUGUCUAGCUCCUCUCCCUGCCCCCGCUAUCUGCUGCCGUGGUGGCUCCAGCCCCUCCUCCCUGCUGCAGCUGCUUUUGCCGCUGGCUGCUCGCUUGCUGCUUGCCCCGGCUUUUGCUGCUGCCCCCCCCAACCCGGCUUUGCUGCUGUGCUGCUUCGCUGCUGGCUCCCUUCUUUCUCUCUCUUCUUCCCCUCCCUACCCCUCGACCCCCCCGAAGACCAGCACCGGCUCCAGAAGGACGGAUCUGGGUCCCAGAAACUCCCUCUGGACGCCUGCCCAAGAAGCUCUCUGCCCUUCCCAGCAAGAGGAUCGUCUCCCAAUCGGUGAAAACUGUUUCUGUCAUCUGGGUCUGUUGCUGGGAAGUGUUUUUUCCCCCCCCCCCCCCCCCCCCCCCCCCCCCCCCCCCCCCCCCCCCCCCCCCCCCCCCCCCCCC
rnacentral:lncRNA from 12 species